rnacentral:tRNA from 1 species
GCCUCCUUAGCUCAGCGGUAGAGCGCUUCACUAGUAAUGAAGAGGUCAGUCGUUAGAGUCGGCUAGGAGGCA